GAUGAACGCUGGCGGCGUGCCUAAUACAUGCAAGUCGAGCGAACGGACGAGAAGCUUGCUUCUCUGAUGUUAGCGGCGGACGGGUGAGUAACACGUGGAUAACCUACCUAUAAGACUGGGAUAACUUCGGGAAACCGGAGCUAAUACCGGAUAAUAUUUUGAACCGCAUGGUUCAAAAGUGAAAGACGGUCUUGCUGUCACUUAUAGAUGGAUCCGCGCUGCAUUAGCUAGUUGGUAAGGUAACGGCUUACCAAGGCAACGAUGCAUAGCCGACCUAAGAGGGUGAUCGGCCACACUGGAACUGAGAAACGGUCCAGACUCCUACGGGAGGCAGCAGUAGGGAAUCUUCCGCAAUGGGCGAAAGCCUGACGGAGCAACGCCGCGUGAGUGAUGAAGGUCUUCGGAUCGUAAAACUCUGUUAUUAGGGAAGAACAUAUGUGUAAGUAACUGUGCACAUCUUGACGGUACCUAAUCAGAAAGCCACGGCUAACUACGUG
rnacentral:rRNA from 1 species